ACAAACUCUUUUUUUAUGAAUCUCUACUCUUGUGACAAGACAGUAAACCCUUCUUAUAUUAUCUCUCUUGUGAAACCUCUGGUGAAUGAUGAGAUGAAUGAGGAUCUUUGUAAGCCUUUUUCUGAACAAGAGAUUAGUGAUGCGCUCUUUCAAAUUGGUCCGUUGAAGGCUCCAGGGCCAGAUGGGUUUCCAGCUGGCUUUUUCCAUAGGAAUUGGGGUUUGCUAAAGGAAGAUAUUGUUCGUGCAGUUCAGCAAUUCUUUAUAUCGGGAUGUAUGCCGGAGGGUAUAAAUAAUACAACUAUUGUGCUUAUUCCGAAAGUGAAGAACCCCCAGUCGAUAAAAGAUUUUCGGCCAAUCAGUCUAUGCAAUGUCAUAUAUAAAAUUAUCUCCAAGUGUCUUGUCAACAGACUGAGACCUCAGUUGGACGGUAUGAUUUCUCCAACCCAAAGUGCGUUCAUCCCUGGAAGAUUAAUUUCUGAUAAUGCUCUUAUAGCUUUUGAAUGUAUGCAUUCGUUGAGUACGCUAAAAGACAGCCGAGGUGAAUAUUGUGCGUACAAGCUGGACCUAGCCAAG
rnacentral:rRNA from 1 species